rnacentral:tRNA from 1 species
GAGGGUUUAGCUUAAUUAAAGUGAUUGGUUUGCAUUCAAUGGAUGUAAGGAAAAAUCUUACAGCCCUUA